CGAGAAGACACUCGUGGAGGCGUCGGC
rnacentral:piRNA from 1 species